AAGUACAGCCGCAUUUUGGUGAAAUCUCCUCAGUCAUCUGAGAACCGUAUAACCUACUUGCAAGUUGUUUGGGAGCAGCCCUGAGGUGAAAGUUACUGUGUUUUCAGAAUACAGGUUGACUGAACCAAUUAUGACUAAUAUAGAAGAUAUAGUCUAUUAAGAGAAGAGAAUAAUCCCAGAAACGGAAAGACAGGAUGCCCCUACAGCAUGGCUGAUGAGUGGAGUAGGUCCUGCCCAGGGUCUGAACUUGUGAACCCAGGCUACUGAAGUGGAGCACAUGGAACUUUAACCACUCAGCCACAGGGUAGGCCCCAUAUUUUUCGUUUUAAAUUUUAGCCCUUCUGGUUAUUGUGUCAUAAUAUUUCAUCACAGUGUGAAUUGGAAUUUUCUUGAUAACAAAUGAUGUUGAGCACAUUUUCAUAUGUUUAUUAUGAAUUUGGAUGUUUUUUAUGUGAAGUGCUUGUUUAAGUCUUUUUAUAUACUUUUCUGUCUUUAUUUUUCAUACUGAUUUGUUGGAAUUCUUAAAAAGUUAUAUACAUAUAUACAAAUUUUAAAAAUUUAUGAUUUUUAAGAAUGUAUAAUUUUUAAUAUAUAUUACCUUUGUGCAUGGUGAAUUUUCACUCUCAAUGCUCAUUAAAAUGAGAAGCAUUUCUUAAAUUAAAUUUGUUUCACUAUAUUAAUAUUUUUCUUUAAGAUAAGAAUAUUUUCCUCCUGUUUAAGAUAUCUUUGCUGACUGCAAGAUCAGGAAUUAUUCUUCUAUAUUUUCCUCUGAAAUAUUUAAUUUUAUCUAACAGGCUAACUUUGACAACUUUUCUUGAGUAACUUAUUUUCUAUUUUGCUUUUGAAUUCUCAACUAAAUUUUAGAAUCAGCCUAUAAAUUUAGGAAAAAACCCCAAAACUCUGACAUCUUCACAAUAGAAUUUUUCAAUCUUUGAAUGGAUUAUAAUACUACAUUUAUAUAAAUCUUUUUUAAUCUCUUCCAGUUUUUUUCAUAGAAUGCUUGUACAUAUAUCAUUAGACUAACUGCUGUGUAUUGAUGGUUUUCAAUGCAAUUGAAAAUGAUGAUAUUAUAAAUAUUAUUUUGCAAUUUUCACUGGCAUAUAUUAAAUUUUUUUAUAUUAUCCUUGUAUUUCAUAAUUUAUUUAAGUUCUCCUCUUAAUUUUAACAGUUUGUUUGUAGAUUCUCUUGGAUUUUCUAUAUAUGAAAUUGUCAUCUAUGAAUGUCAACAAUUUAUUUCUUCUCUGAUCUUCAUAUGUUUUAUUUCUUUAACUUGCCUUAUUGCUCUAGCAAGUGUUUUAAUUGCAAUGUGAAAUAAUAGUGAAAACAGUAGCCCUGAGAAACCUUUCAAUAUUUUAGUAUUGGUAUGAUAUAUGCCAUAGGAGUUUUAAGGAAAAAUUUCAUAGAUGAGUUCUCUUCUAUUCUGAGUUUGCUAAAAGUUUUAACAUAAAGGAAUGUGGGAUUCUAUUGACUAUUUCAUGCAUAUAUUGACAUGAUCACAUGAUUUUCCCUCUACUAUUUUUAUUAUUAAUUUCCCAAUUCGAACUAUUUUAUAAUCUUGGAAUAGACCAACUUUGUUAUGAUGUAUUAUGCUUUCUAAAGAUGGCUGGAUUUUGUUUGAUAAAAUUAUGUUAGAGACUUUUGCAUUUAUGAUCAUGAACAAGC
ensembl:lncRNA